UUGCCCUAGUAACGGCGAGUGAAGCGGCAACAGCUCAAAUUUGAAAUCUGGCUUCGGCCCGAGUUGUAAUUUGCAGAGGAUGUUUCUGGCGCGGUGCCUUCCGAGUUCCCUGGAACGGGACGCCACAGAGGGUGAGAGCCCCGUAUGGUUGGACACCAAGCCUGUGUGAAACUCCUUCGACGAGUCGAGUAGUUUGGGAAUGCUGCUCUAAAUGGGAGGUAAAUCUCUUCUAAAGCUAAAUACCGGCCAGAGACCGAUAGCGCACAAGUAGAGUGAUCGAAAGAUGAAAAGCACCUUGAAAAGGGGGUUAAACAGUACGUGAAAUUGUUGAAAGGGAAGCGUUUGUGACCAGACUUGCGCCGGGCGGCUCAGCAGGGGUUCUCCCCUGUGUAUUCCGCCCGGUUCAGGCCAGCAUCGGUUCUCUCUGGGGGAUAAGAACGGCAGGAACGUGGCUCUCCCUCGGGCGAGUGUUAUAGCCUGCCGUACGAUAUCCUGGAGGGGACCGAGGACCGCGCUUCGGCAAGGAUGCUGGCGUAAUGGUUACUAGCGACCCGUCUUGAAACACGGACCAAGGAGUCGUCCAUUAGAGCGAGCGUUUGGGUGUCAAACCCGCACGCGUAAUGAAAGUGAAAUUAGGUGAGAGCUUCGGCGCAUCAUCGACCGAUCCUGAUGUUCUCGGAUGGAUUUGAGUAAGAGUUUUAACGGACGGACCCGAAAGACAGUGAACUAUGCUUGUAUAGGGUGAAGCCAGAGGAAACUCUGGUGGAGGCUCGCAGCGGUUCUGACGUGCAAAUCGAUCGUCAAAUAUGAGCAUGGGGCGAAAGACUAUCGA
rnacentral:rRNA from 1 species